CAGCCGCCGCGGUAAAACGUAGGUGGCAAGCGUUGUCCGGAAUUAUUGGGCGUAAAGGGCUCGCAGGCGGAUUCUUAAGUCUGGUGUGAAAGCCCCCGGCUCAACCGGGGAGGGUCAUUGGAAACUGGGAAACUUGAGUGCAGAAGAGGAGAGUGGAAUUCCACGUGUAGCGGUGAAAUGCGUAGAGAUGUGGAGGAACACCAGUGGCGAAGGCGACUCUCUGGUCUGUAACUGACGCUGAGGAGCGAAAGCGUGGGGAGCGAACAGGAUUAGAUACCCCUGUAGUCCCUGUCUCUUAUAC
rnacentral:rRNA from 1 species